AUUGAACGCUGGCGGCAUGCCUUACACAUGCAAGUCGAACGGUAACGGGCCUUCGGGUGCCGAUGAGUGGCGAACGGGUGAGUAAUACAUCGGAACGUGCCCGAUCGUGGGGGAUAACGAGGCGAAAGCUUUGCUAAUACCGCAUACGAUCUACGGAUGAAAGCAGGGGACCGCAAGGCCUUGCGCGGACGGAGCGGCCGAUGGCAGAUUAGGUAGUUGGUGGGAUAAAAGCUUACCAAGCCGACGAUCUGUAGCUGGUCUGAGAGGAUGAUCAGCCACACGGGGACUGAGACACGGCCCAGAGUCCUACGGGAGGCAGCAGUGGGGAAUGUUGGACAAUGGGCGCGAGCCGGAUCCAGCCAUGCCGCGUGCAGGAUGAAGGCCUUCGGGUUGUAAACUGCUUUUGUACGGAACGAAAAGCCUUCUUUUAAUACAGGAGGGUCAUGACGGUACCGUAAGAAUAAGCACCGGCUAACUACGUG
rnacentral:rRNA from 1 species